rnacentral:misc_RNA from 2 species
GAAAUGCGAUAAGUAAUGUGAAUUGCAGAAUUCAGUGAAUCAUCGAAUCUUUGAACGCACAUUGCGCCCGCCAGCAUUCUGGCGGGCAUGCCUGUCCGAGCGUCAUUUCAACCCCCAAGCCCGGCUUGGUGUUGGGGCACUACGCGCGAGCGUAGGCCCUGAAAAGUAGUGGCGGGCACGCUGGAGGCUCGGGCGCAGUAGCAAUGUCUCGCCCGCGGCCCCCCGGCGCGCUCCGGCCGUUAAACCCCCAUCUUCGCAGAAGGUUGACCUCGGAUCAGGUAGGACUACCCGCUGAACUUAA